UUUUUCUUUCGCGAGCACGUAACUGUAGAAAUGAGAAAAUAAUCUUUAAAAAUUAAAAUAAGAAGUCAAUUAAAAAGAAAAAAUUAUAUGUGAGAUAAAAUAAAUAUCGGGUAUUGAGCGAAAUAAAUAUGGGAAAUAUCUUAAGAACGACUAGUCUAUCUAUCAUAAUUUUAAUCGUCAUUCUCGUCGUGUUCAGAAAACGCUUGCGUUACUUGUGCAGUAAUAGCCAGAGAACGAAUAAGCGUAGAGACGCAAAAGGCAAUCGGACUUUCGUUUCUCCAAAGUGCAGUCCGCCGAGAGAAACGCUAGCUCCCGACGUUCUCCAAAGUGAGGUCCGUCACGAGAAAUGUCUUAGAUGAGACAUCUAAUAAACAGAUCGAAUAGAGAUAAGAAAUCGGGAAACAUCAUCAAGAAAACCCAGGACAAACAAUAUACUUAUACAUACAUAUGCAAUUUUAUAUAAUUAAGUCAUAUAUAAUUAGUAAACUUCAAUUAUUUUAAUAUUAUUAUAUAUAUAGGCCUACUAGAGAACAUGUAUAUCUCAAAAUAGCUAUUAGAUCCAAUAAAUAUUCUUUUUGAUAUUUGAUUGUCUUGCUUCGUCAC
rnacentral:lncRNA from 1 species